AUGGGAAGUAGCCCCUCAAUACCAGCAACUUUGGUACUUCAUCUUGGGACUAUGGAAAAAAAAAUAUUUAGAAACACAGGUUUAUUUGGAUUGUUGUGGACUGGUUCGAUUAUGGUGCAGGAUGGGUUAUGCAUAAACAGCUUAAGGGCUAGAAUACAGGUUUGGAGCAAGCUAGAACUGGUCCAUUUGGUGGUUAUUUCAAGGAUUGGACAUGGUUUUGAACACGAUGUUGAAUAUGGAUUAGAGAACAUGGAUCUUAGAGCUUGA